rnacentral:rRNA from 1 species
UACGUAGGGUGCAAGCGUUUAAUCGGAAUUACUGGGCGUAAAGCGUGCGCAGGCGGUUUUGUAAGUCUGUCGUGAAAUCCCCGGGCUCAACCUGGGAAUUGCGAUGGAGACUGCAAGGCUAGAAUCUGGCAGAGGGGGGUAGAAUUCCACGUGUAGCAGUGAAAUGCGUAGAGAUGUGGAGGAACACCGAUGGCGAAGGCAGCCCCCCUGGGUCAAGACUGACGCUCAUGCACGAAAGCGUGGGGAGCAAACAGG